AUGGCCUCAUGGCUGCUUCAGGGAGAGAUUUCAGGCUAUGGUGGCAGCACAGAGGAAGCACUGACGACCUUCUUCAGUGAGGUCUGACAAAUAGAGAAAAGAGAUCCGGUUCUAACAUCCAAAAAUCAAGUAGAAAGACUGACCCCUCCCCCGUUCCUCUUCAAUUUGAACCCAUUUGAGGUUCUUCAGAUAGAUCCUGAAGUUACAGAUGAGGAAAUAAAAAAGAGAUCUAGGCAGUUAUCCCUAGUGGUGCAUCCUGACAAAAAUCAAGAUGAUGCUGACAGCACAAAAAGAUUUUGAAGCCGUGGACAAAGCUUACAAGGUGCUACUGGAUCAGGAACAGAAGAGGGCGCCAGAUGUAACUCAGCCAGGAAAAGACUAUGUGGAACACCCUGCAAAAGAGAAAAAAAAAGAAAGGAAGGAAAACCUACAGCUGUAGGGGAGGAGGAUUCUGAGUUAUUCAAACACGCAGUAUAUAAACAGACCAUGAAACGCUUUGCUGAGCUGGAAUUCAAAAGGAAAGAGAAAACAAAAAGAUAUAUGAAAGGAAAACAACAAAGGGAAGAACAGAACGAAGCUCAAGAAAAAAGCCAAAUGAGAAAGAAUGGCAAAAAAAAAAAAAAACGUUGCGGAAAGUCAAGAUGGUCAUGUGGACAGCUAGUGAGACUUCCAAACAAAUAGAAAGAAGAAAAACCAGAGACCACAGAAAGUAAAAAUGGAGCUGUGUGAGUGACCUUCCAGGGUCACAACCACAGAACCUUCCCCCAGCUGUCUUCCUUCCUGCUUUGAAGGACUCAUUCUUUCCUCCUACUUCUCCCCAACAUAGAGUAGUAUUUGCUUUUUAAUCCAUUUUGUUUUCAAUAUAAUUUAAUAUUGAUCACAGUAAUUCUUUUGUACAUUGAAAUGAGGGCCUUAGUUUUAAAAAGACCUUCCCCUCCCCUCUGCCCCUAGAAUAAGCAGAUUGGAAGAUGCCACCACGGGUGCUGCUUUCUCUUCCCACAGCCAGAAACUUGAUGUUUUGUACUUUACCGAAUUGUGAUGGUUAGAAUCUUCGUGUAUAGUUUGUAGAAACCAUCUAAUUAAACACAUUGCUUAAAAUGGUGUUGC